UACGUGGGGGGCAAGCGUUGUUCGGAAUUACUGGGCGUAAAGGGCUCGUAGGCGGCCAACUAAGUCGGAUGUGAAAUCCCCAGGCUCAACCUGGGAACUGCAUCCGAUACUGGAUGGCUUGAAUUCGGGAGAGGGAUGCAGAAUUCCAGGUGUAGCGGUGAAAUGCGUAGAUAUCUGGAGGAAUACCGGUGGCGAAGGCGGCAUCCUGGACCGACAUUGACGCUGAGGAGCGAAAGCUAGGGGAGCAAACGGGAUUAGAAACCCCGGUAGUCC
rnacentral:rRNA from 1 species